GAAGAGAUAAGUGCUGAAAGCAUCUAAGCACGAAACUUGCCCCGAGAUGAGUUCUCCCUGACUCCUUGAGAGUCCUGAAGGAACGUUGAAGACGACGACGUUGAUAGGCCGGGUGUGUAAGCGCAGCGAUGCGUUGAGCUAACCGGUACUAAUGAACCGUGAGGCUUAACCUUACAACGCCGAAGG
rnacentral:rRNA from 1 species